rnacentral:lncRNA from 1 species
ACACCCGAGUUGCACGUGUCCACCUGCAGUGUGGGUUGCCCCAUAACGCUCUCUCCCCUCUCCCUAGGGAGUGGAGGGCAUCCGGGGGCUGAAGGGCCACAAGGGCGAGAAGGUAGGUGUGCUUUCCUGCCCCACGGCGGCGCAGGGCCCGGGCAGGGAGAUGGCGUGUGUCGCCGUCCCGGCGCGGCGCCCCGAGCGCCCGUCCCAGCAUCUCUCUCCCCGCAGGGUGAAGAAGGCUUCCCCGGGUUCAAGGGGGACAUGGGUGUGAAAGGAGACCGGGUAAGCGCACGUGCACAGGGUGCCCUGCCACCCCCGCGGCCCGCUGCCCCGGCGAGGCCGACCCGACGCACCUCUCCCGCAGGGCGAAGUCGGCGUGCCRGGCUCCCGCGGAGAGGACGGGCCCGAAGGUCCCAAAGGUCGGACGGGCCCCACCGGUGACCCAGGUCCCAUUGGGCUGGUUGGCGAGAAGGGGAAACUGGGCGUACCAGGCCUGCCCGGAUACCCCGGACGCCAGGGCCCCAAGGGCUCGCAGGGUUUCCCCGGGUUCCCGGGCACCAACGGCGAGAAGGGCGCUCGGGUGAGUGACUGCGCCCGCGCGGGUCUGUGUCCCCGCCGUAACGGGGUGCCGUGGGGUCCCAGGGACCUCAGGGUGGGGGUCCUGACCUGUCACCCCACUGCAUGUGUCUGAACCACUCUCUCUCUCUUAGGGUCUGUCGGGCAAAUCGGGGCCCAGAGGCGAGCGUGGUCCCACGGGUCCCAGGGGCCAGCGCGGGCCACGAGGAGCCACUGGAAAGUCGGGGGCGAAGGGCACGUCCGGCAGCGACGGCCCCCACGGCCCCCCGGGCGAAAGGGGCCUGCCAGGACCGCAGGGGCCCAAUGGCUUCCCGGGACCCAAAGGACCUCCUGGCCCCCCCGGCAAAGACGGGCUCCCCGGGCACCCUGGGCAGCGAGGAGAAGUCGUAAGUGUCCCCGCGCGGCCAGUGACCCCCGCGCUGCCCCCUUGCCUCGAGUCGCUCUCCCGUCCCCUCCGUCCUGCGCCCUGCUCGCU